rnacentral:rRNA from 1 species
GAACGCUAGCGGCAGGCCUAAUACAUGCAAGUCGAACGGUAAAUCGGGUAGCAAUACUUGAUUGAGAGUGACGUAAGGGUGCGUAACACGUAUGCAAUCUACCUCAACAGGAGUAUAGCUCGGGGAAACUCGGAUUAACACUCCAUAACAUUACGAUGUGGCAUCACAUUGUGAUUAAAACUCCGGUGGUUGAGGAUGAGCAUGCGUCUGAUUAGUUAGUUGGAGGUGUAACGGACCCCCAAGACGAUGAUCAGUAGGGGAACUGAGAGGUUGAUCCCCCACACUGGCACUGAGAUACGGGCCAGACUCCUACGGGAGGCAGCAGUAGGGAAUAUUGGUCAAUGGGUGAGAGCCUGAACCAGCCAUGCCGCGUGCAGGAAGACGGCCUUCUGGGUUGUAAACUGCUUUUAUCUGGGGAUAAAAAAGCCCAUGCGUGGGACAUUGAAGGUACCAGAUGAAUAAGCACCGGCUAACUACGUG